ACACAGCAGACAAGGAAUCCCUGAAACAAUCUAAAGCCAUGUGGAAAAUGCUGAAGGAAAUGCUGAAGGGAAAACAAGGAGUGAAAGGAGAGGCUGUGCAGAAGGAAGCAUUUCCCAGAGGAAGCAGUGAUUCAGUGCCAGUAUCCAUUGCUGGAAGAGAGGAGAUGCCAGGCACAGUCACAGGAGGUGACCUUCCUCGGAAGAUUUCUCCACUAGCUUGGCUGCAUAAUGAUUUGAA